ensembl:lncRNA LINC01635 long intergenic non-protein coding RNA 1635
GGAGGGGCAUAGGUUGGAAGGGGUGGGCCGGGUCUCUCUAGCCUCCGCGGUACUACGCAGCUUCAUGGUUUUAACUCUUGGUGGUCUUUUGACCGUCCUCAGUCCUUACCGUGCGGAGUUUUGGAUACAUUCUUAGCAGCUUUUUCGCUCCGGAGAAGUUCUUUAUCUUUCUGAGCCGCAGUUUGCCCAACUGCAAAAUGGAAAGAGAUGAAGCAGGAAUUAAGAUACUCUAGGAGCUCGCCCACAGCUGAUUCAGGGCCCCAUUCUGAGGUUACACCCUUAAGCCUUUGCACCACUCAAAGGAAGGAAACCAAGAGAGAGGGGUGGCUGGCUGCUGUUUGGAGACAGUGGUCCUUGUAUUGGCGCCCCGCGGAAUCACUCCAGAUGAGUCAGUGGAUACAGUCUAUAGGUCCCGCCUCAUUGACUUUUCCAGUUGCUACCAGACUACGCACUGUCGCCUGAUGGUUAAGAACUGAAGCUUUAGCCGUGCGCGGUGGCUCACGCCUGUAAUCCCAGCACUUUAGGAGGCAGAGGCGUGUGGAUCACCUGAGGUCACGAGUUCGAGACCAGCUUGACCAACAAGCUGGCAUAUCCGAAUGGGCUGAGCUACCGGAUUAAGAGGGACACCCCAAAGCCCCCAUUGCUGGGUUAUUGCUCCAGAGCCAAUGUUCUUGGGGAAAGGAAGAUAUGCCCUUUGUCAACAUUGCCACUGCUGGUCUGUAAACUCCUAGACGGCCAGCUGGUGGUUCACAAACCAGGACUCCUUGCUCUGGCCCUACCCCUACCUACCAGAAUGACCGUGAACCCUUCCCCACUCACUCCUACAACCAGGUUUCCAUCUCCUCUCUCAGCUUAGGUUUCCCUAACUGUAAAAUAAAAGGGUUGGACUAGGUUAAGGACUUCCUGCUAUUUCUCUCUCCCACACUCUAAGGUUCCUUAGGAAUGCUUCAGAAAACAGCAGGGGUUGGGGCAAGGAUGCCGCUUGAGUCCCAGAGCAACUCCAAUUUCAUAGGCACAUAAAUUUAUGUGAAAGUA